CACGUAGGGGGCAAGCGUUGUCCGGAUUUAUUGGGCGUAAAGAGCGUGUAGGCGGCCUUACAGGUCAGCUGUGAAAACUCGAGGCUCAACCUCGAGACGUCGGUUGAAACCGUAUGGCUAGAGUCCGGAAGAGGAGAGUGGAAUUCCCGGUGUAGCGGUGAAAUGCGCAGAUAUCGGGAAGAACACCCGUGGCGAAGGCGGCUCUCUGGGACGGUACUGACGCUGAGACGCGAAAGCGUGGGGAGCGAACGAGG
rnacentral:rRNA from 1 species